UACGUAGGGGGCGAGCGUUGUCCGGAAUUAUUGGGCGUAAAGAGCUCGUAGGCGGUUCGGCAAGUCACGUGUGAAAUCUCCACGCUCAACGUGGAGGCGCCACUGAUACUGCUGUGGCUAGAGUCCAGUAGGGGAGCGUGGAAUUCCCAGUGUAGCGGUGAAAUGCGCAGAUAUCAGGAGGAACACCAAUGGCGAAGGCAGCUCGCUGGAACGGUAACUGACGCUGAGGCGCGAAAAGCGUUGGGGGAGCGAAACAGGG
rnacentral:rRNA from 1 species